CCCGAGCCAUCGGGACGAAAUGUGGGUCGGCGUCGAACGCCCGCCCGAAUCGCAAG
rnacentral:ncRNA from 1 species